AGGUUGACAUAUAAGUCAGCUGUGAAAGUUUACGGCUCAACCGUGAAAUUGCAGUUGAUACUGUAUGUCUUGAGUGUACAAGAGGUGGGCGGAAUUCGUGGUGUAGCGGUGAAAUGCUUAGAUAUCACGAAGAACUCCAAUUGCGAAGGCAGCUCACUGGGGUGCAACUGACACUGAGGCUCGAAAGUGUGGGUAUCAAACAGGAUUAGAUACCCUGGUAGUCCACACAGUAAACGAUGAAUACUCGCUGUUUGCGAUAUACAGUAAGCGGCCAAGCGAAAGCAUUAAGUAUUCCACCUGGGGAGUACGCCGGCAACGGUGAAACUCAAAGGAAUUGACGGGGGCCCGCACAAGCGGAGGAACAUGUGGUUUAAUUCGAUGAUACGCGAGGAACCUUACCCGGGCUUGAAUUGCAGAGGAACAUAGUUGAAAGAUUAUGGCCGCAAGGUCUCUGUGAAGGUGCUGCAUGGUUGUCGUCAGCUCGUGCCGUGAGGUGUCGGCUUAAGUGCCAUAACGAGCGCAACCCUUAUCAUUAGUUACUAACAGGUCAUGCUGAGGACUCUAGUGAGACUGCCGUCGUAAGAUGUGAGGAAGGUGGGGAUGACGUCAAAUCAGCACGGCCCUUACGUCCGGGGCUACACACGUGUUACAAUGGGGGGUACAGAGGGCAGCUACCGGGCGACCGGAUGCCGAUCCCAAAAACCUCUCUCAGUUCGGAUCGAAGUCUGCAACCCGACUUCGUGAAGCUGGAUUCGCUAGUAAUCGCGCAUCAGCCACGGCGCGGU
rnacentral:rRNA from 1 species